AAACAGUCCAUAGAAUCAGCAUUUCCUCAAAUUGGAAGACAAUGCAUAAAACACCACAUUAGGGGUGAGCAAUAUUCGGUAGAGACUAAAAUAACCAUCCGAACCGAAUCAAUUUGGAAAUUCAGUUCAGUUUUAUCAGAAAUUCUGUUCACUUCAGUUUUAAUGUUUAAAAAUUUUUAUUUAUUCGGUUCAGUUCGGUUAGGUUUUGGGGAUUAAAAAAAAAAAUCAGAAACCAAA
rnacentral:misc_RNA from 1 species